AUGAGUUCUUUGAAGUGGGACUGAUGCUGGCCUCCCGAGGCAAGUGCUCGUCCUCACUCUCAUCCACUCACAACACCUGUGCACUGUUGAGGUGUGGCCCCCCUUUGACGGAGCCGUUCCCUCCUCUCGCGAGGAGGUUGAGCCGGGGUCAGACCUUCUCCUCGUCACAAACAACUUGUAAUGUAUUGACAGAAUGCAUGUGUUAUUAUACGAAAUAAUA
rnacentral:misc_RNA from 1 species